rnacentral:RNase_P_RNA from 1 species
UCAGACGGUCGGAUGAUCGCUCGAACCCCUUGAUUCCGGAGCUUUCUUGAGCGCCGUCUAUUGAAGGGGUUUUCGAGAGGAAAGUCCGGGCUUCAGGGGAAAAGGGUGCCGGAUAACGUCCGGUUGGGGCGACUCAAAGGAAAGUGCCACAGAAAACAGACCGCCACGCCAUAGGGAGGCGCAAGCCGACCGACGGCGGGUAAGGGUGAAAAGGUGCGGUAAGAGCGCACCGCGUUUCUGGCAACAGAAACGGCAUGGAAAACCCCACCCGAAGCAAAACCGAAUAGGAGCCGCAUAGCGUAUAUCUGAGUUUCGACUCAUAGAUGCGCGGCGCUUUCCCCGCGCGCGGCUCGGGUUGGUUGCAUGAGGCGUACAGCAAUGUGCGUCCCAGAUGAAUGAUCGUCCCUGUCACUCACUCGGGGAGUGGCGUUCCAGAUUCUGAAACGUAGCGCCCGCGAGUGAGUGACAGGACAAAACCCGGCUUAUAGACCGUCUGACAUU